GGGCAAUGAUGAUCACCUGAGGAAGUCAUGCACCACUCUGAUGAAUCUGUGCUGAUAAAUUUCUCAUACCCAAUUCUUCUGAGCCU